rnacentral:rRNA from 1 species
AUGCAGAACAAGGUGGGUGACAUGGUGGACCUCUACGUCCCCAGGAAGUGCUCGGCCACCAACAGGAUCAUCACGGCCAAGGACCACGCCUCUGUCCAGAUCAUCAUUGGUCACAUUGAUGAGAAUGUCCUCUGUGAUGGCCGCUUCACCACCUUUGCUCUCUCUGGGUUCGUAUGUGCUCGGGUAAUCAUCUUUCUUGUGUAUUUAUUGAACUAUGUGUGUGGUCACAAGUUUACUCUCAUCAAAUUUCUAUUUUCAGUGAUCAUGUUACUCUAA